UUUGUGCAGGUUCUUCCAAAGAGAAUGCCUAAUUGCUCAUACUUUUUGCAAGGCUUAUGCUCAAACAAAAGUUGUUCAUAUAGACAUGUCAACGUGAACUCCAAUGCAUCUAUUUGUGAAGGAUUUCUUAAGGGUUAUUGUGCUGACAGAAAUGAGUUGAAAAUAAAUCACACUAUAAGCAGUGAGAUACUGAUAAACCCGGGAUAUGUUCUUGCGCUUAACGUCAAAUAUCGAGUUUUUCAUUAUGGAUUGCAAUUCAGUGUCGGGAACUGGAGCUUCGACAAAGCAGGCUGCCGAGAGAUUUUCAUUGGAUCUAUUGCAUUCCGCAUGACGUGUUAUAUGGAUGCGGUGAUUUAAUAUUUUCGUCGCACAUGAUCUUUACUCUUACUUUUGUGUGCACAUAUCAGAAAUAUGGAACCCGAAGGUUACUUCAUUGUUCAUUUCAAAACAUGCUCUCGCCAUCACAUAUUUUGUCGUGUUUAAAUUUUAAUUCUGAUUUAUUGUGACUGGAUGAAUCUAUAGAUCCAUAAAGCAGCUCGCAUGGCUGCUUGCCGUGAUUCAGAAAAACUGACAUUUGUUCCCUUUUGAAUAAUCAUUUCAUCUUUCGGUCCCUGAUUGGCAGGUACACCGUAAAUUUGGUGGUAUUUUUUGUUGACAAGAAAUUGCCAGGUUUGCUCAUCUGUACUACAACCUAUUGAAUGGAAAUUCCGAUGACCCUGCAGAUCGAGAUUGAAGAAGAAACUGAACUAAUAUAUGGUGAUCAAAAUGGCAAUAUUCAUGUGUGGGAUUUCACAGCAAAUUCAUGCAGCUGUGAAUUGCUGUUCUCUGAGUGUUUGAGUGAAUUUUGGAUGAUGAAGCUUGGUUGUUUUGUAAGUUUAAUUUGGUAAUUUUAAUGUGUGGAUUUUUCUGAAUGUGAUUGUGGAUGAACUGAGUUCGUAUUUGUUUUCCAGCUUGGUUUGAAUUUAGAAAGGGUAGUUGCAGGUUCUGGAAUUGUUUGGGAUUUGGGGGCUGAUUCGGAUUAUCAUAAAGGGAUGAUAUGCAGCUGAGUUUCGGCUUACGGUUUAUGCAGCAGAAUUUUCGGUGCAGCUCGAUUUGGUUAACCUCUAUUAUUGUGGAAUUUUUGCACUCUUCUGUGAUAACCAUGUCGUCGAUACAUGUUCAACACGAUAUACCAUUGCGAACUUAUAAUCACAUGACCGGGAGUUCAGACUAUUUUUGAUUCGGAGACGACAUGUUUCGGCAUAAAAAUACUGAUCAAAGAAUUGUCAUCAGAUUCUUCACAACAUGUCCACUCAGCUCUGGCUUCAGUAAUAAUGGGAAUGGCUCCAGUGUUGGGAAAGUUAUAAGUUUCAGAUGCCAGUUUCUGCAGUAAUUUUGACUUCGACAUUAAUACACAGUAUCUGUAUCUCGAAAGUGAAAUCUGUUGUUGGGGCUUAAAAUAUUAUUUUUCUUUUGAGUAUGUAACAAAUACACUGAGCCGAGUUUUGGUUGUAUAUUUUACUGUUCUCAUAUAUGUCACUUGAUUGUGGUGUGUAGGCCAUUGAAAAUCCGAACAACUAGCUACUAAAAUUUGUCUUUUGCAAGUGGGAAGGUCAUGUGUCAUGGUUUGAGAUUGAAAUUUUGUCUUUAUGAUCUGUUGGUUAUCUUUGCUUCAUUAAGCCAUGCUUGCUUUAUGAUGAUUUAGUUUCUAAUGUUGCUUUAUGAUUUGUUGGUUAGCUUUGCUUCAUCAAGUCGAACUUUCUUCCUAUUGUGUGCAUGUAUUUGAUUCCAAUGUGAAAACAUAUGAAUAUGUUUUGUCUGAGAAGGAUACUAAAGGUGUUUUGCCUGGAAAGGAUACAAAGGAACAAAGUUCGGCUAAAACAACUCAAUCGAAGUCAUUUUCUUCUAAAGAUAGUUUUGUGACUUCAACUGGAUCUUACCCUUCUAAUCAUAGGUAUCAGAAUUGCAAGGAUGGUGACGAGGAAGAUGAAGAAAUUGAUGACUGGGUUGAUGAUUCAUUCUCAUCUAGAGGACCCAAAAAGAUUUAUCCAUCAAUACUCAAGCCUGAUGUAACCACACCUGGUGUGAACAUACUUGCUGCCUAUUCACUAUUCUUAAAAAGAUGAGCUUAGAUAGGUUAUUGGUCGUUUGUAUUUCUCUAUUUUAUUUUUGUCAAACUGUAUUUUGUAUUCUUGAUGAUGCUAAAUAUGUUUGGCUUUGCUGGUGAGAACUCUGCCAUCACUGAGUCAGACAUUGAAGAGACCUUUAAGAGGCUUGUGACUCAGCUGAAGAAGACCGCCCUUGAAAUAUUUGAUGCUUUGAAGAGCCAAACUGUUGAUUUGGUCUUAAAUCUUAACUGCUCAUCCUACCCAGGCUGUUCGUAGAUCUUUAUUGCAAAAGCAUGGCAGUUGCAGGGAUUGUUUGACACAGUUGUAUGCAAAAGAUAUUACACCAGAUGAUAAGCAGGAACUUGAUGAGGCUUUGCAAAGAGAGGUGCCUAUCUGUUGAUUUUUUUUAUUCUAUAUGCAUAUAAGAUGCCACCAUUGGAAGCCGCUUGAUUUUAUGUAUGCUACUUUAUAUAUACAGUUAUACUUAAAAUUAUGUAUAAUUGAUUUUAAGUGAUACAAUGUUUUUCGGUCAAAAAAAAAAGUGAUACAAUGUUUUCCUUGGUUAGGCUAAGAUAAUUGGAGUUAUCUGUGUUUAUAGUACCUAUUAACAUGGGUAGCAUUGAAUAAAUACCGUGAUGCUACACUCACCGAAUGAAGGUAUACAGUGGAAUUUAUGUGAAUAUACAAAAUUAAAAUCUUAUGACUUUUCCGUGAUCAUUUGGCACAUCAGCAAGCCUGUUGAAUUUUAUCUAAACUUUAUAUAUUUAUAUAUAUCAAACUUAAAACUUUUUUUAUUAUUUCUUUUAAUCUCCCAAC